AGAGUUUGAUCAUGGCUCAGAACGAACGCUGGCGGCGUGCCUAACACAUGCAAGUCGCGCGAGAAAGUUCCCUUCGGGGAGCGAGUACAGCGGCGAACGGGUGAGUAACGCGUGGGUCACGUGCCCUUCGGUGGGGAAUAACCCAGGGAAACUUGGGCUAAUACCGCAUGAGCACUACGGUGGAAAGAUUGCCUCUUCUAUGCAAUCGCCGAAGGAGCGGCCCGCGUCCCAUUAGCUAGUUGGUGGGGUAAUGGCCUACCAAGGCUUCGAUGGGUAGCCGGCCUGAGAGGGUGUCCGGCCACACUGGGACUGAGACACGGCCCAGACUCCUACGGGAGGCUGCAGUGGGGAAUAUUGCGCAAUGGGCGAAAGCCUGACGCAGCGACGCCGCGUGCGGGAUGACGGCCUUCGGGUUGUAAACCGUUGUCGUGGGGGACGAAAAACCGGUGGAUGAAUAAGCCACCGGCCUGACGGUACCUCAUGAGAAAGCCCCGGCUAACUCCGUGCCAGCAGCCGCGGUAAUACGGAGGGGGCCAGCGUUGUUCGGAAUCACUGGGCGUAAAGGGUUCGUAGGCGGCCGCGUAAGUCUUGGGUGAAAUCCCCCGGCUCAACCGGGGAAUUGCCUGGGAAACUACGUGGCUUGAGUUCGGUAGAGGGAGAUGGAAUUCCGGGUGUAGCGGUGAAAUGCGUAGAUAUCCGGAGGAACACCAGUGGCGAAGGCGAUCUCCUGGGCCGAUACUGACGCUGAGGAACGAAAGCUAGGGGAGCAAACAGGAUUAGAUACCCUAGUAGUCC
rnacentral:rRNA from 1 species